rnacentral:lncRNA from 1 species
UAGAUUUUCCAUGUAGGCCUGGAUAUCCUCUUGAUUCGAGGUAUCUAGUUUUGAUAGACCAUCCAUCAUUUGGAUUGAUUUUGAUAUCUUCUUCAUCAAUAUACAUAAUUUUUUCAAUUACUGGAUUUUUAAAAUAAUCCAAUUGCUCUUGAGGUGGGUUAUUAACCGCAACUUCUUUGUAAGAUGUACUUUUAUUAGAGGAGGAGGAAGGAAUAUCUUCCCUUUUAGAUAAAGAUGCAGGUAAUUGUUGCAUUUUUCUACCUUUGUAAACUGUAGUCCAAUCCCC